rnacentral:rRNA from 1 species
UGGGUAUUAACCAUUACACAUUUCUUCCCUGCUGACAGAGCUUUACGAUCCGAAAACCUUCAUCACUCACGUGGCGUCGCUGCAUCAGGGUUGCCCCCAUUGUGCAAAAUUCCUC